AGGUACCAAUGUUCACUGCAUCAGGUCUGCGGGUCCGCUUUCUGAAGGUAUGGGAGAAAAGUGGUUAUAACACAGUUGAAUGGGUUCGUUACAUCACCAAAGCUGGAUCAUAUGAAAUUAGAUGUUAGUUUAUGAACUGCAUAGAAACAACUAAAAACAUCACCUUUGGAAGGGGCCAAGUGAGUUGGAGCUCGAUAGUUCAUGAGCAACAAUUCAGAUGAG